AUUAGGACUGGCCACACAGAUUCAACUUUUCAGAGCCUACCUUAGUUGGCUCAUCACACUGUUGAGUAUUAUGGGAAGUCAGUGUAAAUGGGGGCUUGGAAUAAGCCCCUAAAUUGGUUAUGUGGGUGUGAGGGUGUGUGGCAGGGAUUGGAGGCCGUGAAGAGUUGGAUGCUGGCUCCAUGGAUCCUUUUAACUGCCGGGAUCCAUAACUCCCAGGAGCAUCAGUGCUGGGAGGUACAGGGACAAGUCAACAGGAGAAAACAGCUAGGGUGGACCUAUUUUCUCUCUGACACAGACUCUCAGCUGCAAGACUCUUUCUCUGUAAGGCAGGUAGGUGGAAUGUGGAAAGACCAGGUAGAAGAAACAACUAGAUUUAGAAAGAUGGCCAAAGUAUGAAGAUGCUUUUAUGGGCUAAAUGUUUGUGCCCAACCUCUCAAAUUUACAUGUUGAAGCCCUAAACCCCCAUUGUGACGUCAUUUGGAGGUGGGCCUUUGAGAGACAAUUAGGCUCACAUGAAGCCAUGAGGGUGAGCCUUCUCAUAAGUGUCCUUAUGAGAAGAGGAAGAGACAGCAGCACUUCCUGUUUCUGCCAUGUGAGAGAAAGCAAGAAGGCUGCUGUCUGCAAGUCAGGAAGAGGGCCCUUCCCAAGAACCCAACCAGCUGGCACCUGUACUUCCAGCCUCCAGAAUGCAGAGAAUAAAUAAAUGUUGUUAAAGGUCGUCAAUGGAUUGGAUGAGGCACAUCCAUGUGAGAAAGGGCAACCUGCUUUACUCAGUCUAUGGAUGCAAAUGUUCAUCUCAUCCAGAAACACCUUCACAGAUACAGCCAGAAUAAUGUUUGACCAAAUGUCUGGGCACCCCAUGGCCUGGUCAAGUUGACACAUAAAAUUAACCAUCACACAGAUAUAACUUUUCUUCAGGGUCUCAGAAUAAACGUUGCUUUCUCCCAGAA